rnacentral:tRNA from 1 species
CGGGGUGUAGCUCAGCUCGGUAGAGCACUGCCUUCGGGAGGCAGUGGCCGGAGGUUCAAAUCCUCUCACCCCGA